AGCCCCGUGGUGUAGCGGCCAAGCAUAGUGGGCUCUGGACCCAUUGACGGCAGUUCGAAUCUGCCCGGGGCUG
rnacentral:tRNA from 1 species